UCCUACUGACUUCACCAAGUCAUGAAAAAGACUAGAGACAAGUUGGUCCGAGGGUACUUAAAUCAAUCGAAUUGAUUUAAUGAUUUGAGAAUAAGAGAAAAAAUCAAUCAACAGUCAAAAGUCCUCUCACUGACUUCAUCAAGUCAUUGAAUUGGAUUAGAGACAAGCUUGGUCAAGAGAUACUUAAAUCAGUCAUACUAAUUUACCUUAAUGACAUGAGUCAGUUCGAAUCAAUUAAUGACCUAAUCAAAGUAUAAUCUAUCAAAUUGACUAGAUAAGUG
rnacentral:lncRNA from 1 species